UACCUCUAUUUGAUUUAUAUGUUUGUUAGUAUUUCUUAUAUUACAUAAGUAGAAUCAUUCUAAUUGAAGGUUAUUUUCAGACUUCCACACAGACCUGAAACUACCUCGUAGAUUUGUCACAUAUUUUAAAACGUUUUGUCCAAUACCUCGAAUCAAAAGAAUAUCUUUGGAACUAUACAAAAUUGCAGAGAACAAUGGUAUUCUUAGAUAUAGAUAUAUAUAGGCUUAUUGUACAAUGCAGUAUCAAAAGUCAUUUUUGUUUCGAGUACAAAGUUAUAUCUAGUUGUGAGUUGUCGUAUUUGUCAUUUAAUGAACAUAAAUCUAUUUAUAUUUCCUAACAAUCAAUUUCAAUCAUUUACUUCAAUUAAAAAUAUUUCAGGAUUAAAAAAUAAUAAUUUUAGCUUAAUGUUAGAAGCUGUUUUUUUUAAAUUUAUUUCAUAAUUAUUUUUUUUGUUUUCAUAAUGUUUUUUUUCUGUCGUAUGCUUACUAGUCACGUGUGCUUGCAGACUACCGAG